rnacentral:snoRNA from 1 species
UUUCUCUUUCCAACAGCAUUUCUAUAGUAAACGACCCUACUCUGUAGUUUUUACGAAAGCGACAAGAGUCCCAACCUUGCUGAUGACCCUAAUGUCCUCGAUGCCCUAAAGUGAAGCCUUUUUUAUUCUCGCCUAUACUUCGACAGUGAUGAUGAUACUUGACAAUGCCUCGGUGUUUGAUUGAAUCUCAUCCUGUUGAUUUAGAGAGUGGUGAUGAUCUUUACCUUGCCGUGGCGUCUGACUUCGGUCGGCCUGGCAAGGUGGGUGUCGAGGAGGUCUGAAAGGU